rnacentral:rRNA from 2 species
CAGGGUUGUUUAACUCACUGCCCAACUCUCGUGGUUGUGGCUUGUCGGAUGACAUUGAGAUACUUGCGAUCAGGCAACUGAUUGUAGGUGACUCGAUCUCGUUCUAGUACCCGAAGCAUCACAAGUCGAGACCCGACGGUUCCUAACUGUCGACUCGUAAUGUGACGCGCUACUCUUUAUCAGAGAGAGCUGCCAAAUGGCGUCCAACUUGACUUCUAUGGUGUCCGAGUGAACAUCAAGACGUGUAUCAUAACGUGUCUCGAUAAGAUCUAGGGCAUUCGUCUAACCGGCUCGUCGCUCUGUGCUGAAUAAUGAGGUUCGUUUGUCGAAGGAUCUUCGGAUUCUAAAACAAAACGUUGCGUGUCUUGCUAUUAUCAACCUGAACUCAGUCGUGAUUACCCGCUGAACUUAAGCAUAUCAUUUAGCGGAGGAAAAGAAACUAAAAAGGAUUCCCUUAGUAACGGCGAGUGAAACGGGAUGAGCCCAGCGCCGAAUCGAUCAGCCUAUGGUUGCUUCGAAAUGUGGCGUAUAGGUGUAGUCUUCCAGCAGUGUCGUGAGUCCGAAGUCCUUACGAUUGAGGCCAUAGACCAGAGAGGGUGCGAGUCCCGUCCUGGAUUGCGAUGCUGUUGGUUCGAUUGCUCCUUGGAGUCGGGUUGCUUGAAAGUGCAGCCUAAAGUGGGUGAUAAACUUCAUCUAAGGCUAAAUAUUGACUCGAUUGCGAUAGCGAACAAGUACCGUGAGGGAAAGUUGCAAAGGACUUUGAAGAGAGAGUUCAAGAGAACGUGAAAUCGCUGGAGUGGAACCGGAGACAGUUGAUGUUGCUUGGAGACAAGUUUGGUGGCUGGUCGCUUAGUUGUGAUCGUCGCCGGAUGUCGUUUCCUAUGCUACGCCGACGGCGUUGGUCGCUCGUUCUGGCCCGACAGUGUUGCCCAGCUCGCAAGAGUCGGUGUCUUGUUGUCGGUCGUUGGUUCGUGGUGGCUAGCGUUUAGUUACGCUAGUGUGUGUGACGUCGGUGUGAAAGUCGACGACGUUUCCGACCCGUCUUGAAACACGGAUUGCGGAGUGCUUGUCUACUGCGAGUCAAAGGGUGUUAAAACCUUGCGGCGAAAUGAAAGUGAAGGUCAGUCUUGAAUUGGCCGACGUGGGAUCGGUGCUCCUCGGAGUGCUGCGCACCACGGCCCUGUGCGUGUCACUUGUGACUGUGCAGAGGUUGAGCAGUUGGCAAACGACCCGAAAGAUGGUGAACUAUGCCUGAGCAGGAUGAAGCCAGAGGAAACUCUGGUGGAAGUCCGUAUCGGUUCUGACGUGCAAAUCGAUCGAUAGACUUGGGUAUAGGGGCGAAAGACUAAUCGAACCAUCUAGUAGCUGGUUCCUUCCGAAGUUUCCCUCAGGAUAGCUGGAUCUCCGGCAGUUAUAUUCGGUAAAGCUAAUGAUUAGAGGCCUUGGGGACGUAAUGUCCUCAACCUAUUCUCAAACUUUCAAUGGAUAUGAAGUUGCAGUUUCUUUAGUGAACUGUCAACGUGAAUGCGAGGUCCAAGUGGGCCAUUUUUGGUAAGCAGAACUGGCGCUGUGGGAUGAACCAAACGUGGAGUUAAGGUGCCUAACUUCUCGCUCAUGAGACCCCAUAAAAGGUGUUGGUUGAUAUUGACAGCAGGACGGUGGCCAUGGAAGUCGGUAUCCGCUAAGGAGUGUGUAACAACUCACCUGCCGAAUCAACUAGCCCUGAAAAUGGAUGGCGCUUAAGCGAGAGACCUAUACUCCGCCGUUGCGGCAUGUGCGUUGUCUAGCGCCAGGCCGUAACGAGUAGGAAGGUCGUGGCGGUUGCUUUGAAGGCUAUGAGCGUGGGCUCGGCUGGAGCUUCCGUCAGUGCAGAUCGUAAUGGUAGUAGCAAAUAUUCAAGUUCGAUCCUUGAAGACUGAAGUGGAGAAGGGUUCCACGUGAACAGUAGUUGGAUGUGGGUCAGUCGAUCCUAAGGUACUGGCGAACGCCUUGUAUCAUCGGUGGCGAAAAGCUUGCUUUUGGUCCCCGUUUGUCGAAAGGGAAUAGGGUUAAUAUUCCCUAACUGAGAUGCAAAGAUUGUGUUCUUCGGAGCACAAGCGCGGUAACGCAUUCGAACUUGGUUAGUCGCUCAAAGACCGAGCUAGAGUUUUCUUCUCUAGUUAAGGAACGGACUCCCUGGAAUUGGUUCAGCCAGAGAUGGGGACGUUGUUUCCGAAAAGCACCGCGGUUUCUGUGGUGUCUCGUGCUCUUUGAACGGCCCUUAAAACACCAAGGGAGGCUAUUAAUUUGCACUCAAUCGUACCGAUAUCCGCAUUAGGUCUCCAAGGUGAACAGCCUCUAGUCGAUAGAAUAAUGUAGGUAAGGGAAGUCGGCAAACUAGAUCCGUAACUUCGGG